rnacentral:rRNA from 1 species
AUUGAACGCUGGCGGCAGGCCUAACACAUGCAAGUCGAGCGGAUGAGGGGAGCUUGCUCCCUGAUUUAGCGGCGGACGGGUGAGUAAUGCGUAGGAAGCUGCCCGAUAGAGGGGGAUACCAGUUGGAAACGACUGUUAAUACCGCAUAAUGUCUACGGACCAAAGUGUGGGACCUUCGGGCCACAUGCUAUCGGAUGCGCCUACGUGGGAUUAGCUAGUUGGGGAGGUAAUGGCUCACCAAGGCGACGAUCUCUAGCUGGUUUGAGAGGAUGAUCAGCCACACUGGAACUGAGACACGGUCCAGACUCCUACGGGAGGCAGCAGUGGGGAAUAUUGGACAAUGGGCGCAAGCCUGAUCCAGCCAUGCCGCGUGUGUGAAGAAGGCCUUCGGGUUGUAAAGCACUUUCAGUAGGGAGGAAGCGUUGUGUGUUAAUAGUACACAGCGUUGACGUUACCUACAGAAGAAGCACCGGCUAACUCUGUGCCAGCAGCCGCGGUAAGAC